UUUUCGCGGAACUUUCACUUUCCGCGAAAAACCAAUGCCAGCAUGGCCAUAAAACACUACAUACAAAUCGAAAUCUAAAAAGCGCGGAACUUUCAUAUAUUUUCCGUCGGAGCAAUUAUUUUUCAACCCUGUAGAAAAAGCGGGCUCAAUUAAUCGCGCGGAACGUUAUUUAUCUACUCUGUACAAAUAGUAGUGUUUAAAAUCGCGCGGAGAUUGUAGAAUGCUAUUUUAAGAAGUCUAUUAAAGAGAGAAAAUCCAGUAAAUACCAGAUCCAAAAAGCGCGGAACACAAAUAUCGUCCGCGAAAAUUAAGCAUUGAAUUACUGUACAAAUCUCGGGUUGUUAGGUGUUAGAAUCCCUAGUUACCCGAAAAAUUUGAUUGGAUCCGAUACUUAGAAAUAACCAAUCAGAUACUUUGUAACAAAUGCAACACAAUCAGUGCGUUCAGUAAGUAUAACGUUUCAAGAUGGCGGAGCGAAUUGCAUGGUUAUUGUUUCUACUCGAUGGAUUCGCAGAUAAUUCGGAAAUAGAUCAGAUUGGGAUCAAUAACUGUAUUGCAUACGAUCAUUUACAUGUAUUACCAGGUGUGUGUUGCCAGUAAUGGUUGAAGAUAUGCCAAACAAAUUGUGCCUCUCUAUACAGACAGAUUUCAGGUCUCAAUUUCGACUUCAAAGGUCAACAUAUCACUGAUAUCAGGAAUUCUGUACAACUGUGGAACCAUGUAUGGUACGUGACCGCACAAUGUUGGUUGGCAAAAGGAUAUUGGAAUAAGCAAAGGGACUCAACAUUACACAGUCAUUUCAACAUGUAGAGUCUUGUCAGCAAUGAUGGAGCAGUACUUCAGAUUUCCAGAAUCUCGUCAUGAGCUGAAGAUCAUUGCCUAUGAAUUUCCUGAAUGAUGUAGAAUGAUUGGACUGUUGAUGGAACCCACAGUGCAUGUCCUGCUUCAACAUCUGAGCAUAGGUCCUUGUUUAUCAGCAGUUUAGUUCUUCAAGCAGUCUGUGACAGUUACUUGAAAUGUUUGGACAUAUGACCUGGAUGGCCAAGUUCUGUGCAUGAUGCCCAUUUAAAUAGGAACGGCCCAGUGGCGCAUUAAAUGGACAUUUUUCGAAUGUUCUCAAGGAUUCAGCUUACCGCCUGACAAGAAAUCUUGCUUUUUGUUCAGUAUCGAGGCCAUGGACAUUUGUAUCAUUUGCAAAAGAUACUGCGAUAUUUGUGCCUUUGUUCAUGCUUUAUAGUUGAUUAACAAUUGGAAGCCAUAACCUGUUUUUAAGAUGGUGUUAGUGGGACAAUGAAUUUUGUAAAGAUUUAAAGACUGGAAAAGAUAAUUAAAAGUCAAAAGAGUUCUGCUAUUGUUAAGCAUGCUUUAUUGAUUUGUAAUGUUAGAAAGAUAGCAUUAUUAACAGAAUAAAAUGUCCAUAAUUUGAA